CUUCAGGGAACUUCACACUUUGUUCCUUCCUAGAAAGACAGAACAAGUUAAAACAUUCAGAGAGGUAGAAGACAGAUACCAUAUUUUAUCAAUAAUUCAAGAAGUUCAGGCAGAUGAGGCUCCUGUUCAUCAAAAUUAAGCUAUUUUUGGAAGUGUAAGCAACAUGAUUUUUCUUUCCCUGCAGACUUCUGGUGAUCAACCAAGUUAACUCUUGUAAUUAUCAGCAGCAGUUUCUCAGCUGACAGUCAGCUCACAUCCAAGUUUAAUGAAUCAUGACAUGAUUUAGGCAAUAAAUAGUCUACACUAAGACAAAACUGACGCAUUACACAGUGGUAAUAUUUUACUACGUCAUCAUCUAUUCUUAUUGAUCAAAACCACGGUAUGUAUCAGAAAGCUAAAAGGCUAUUUAAAACAAAAAGCAAAACAUUAACAGCAUGUGGUGGAAAGAAGCUGAGAACAGAGUUAAUUUGCAAAAAUUGUCUCAAGGCAAAUGCAUAAGGAGCUGCACAGAAAGCUUAAUAUGAGGCACCUUUAUAUCAAAAAUUAAUAUAUGAUGACUCUAGUAGUGCUAACGAUACUACAAAUACCAUCAAAACCUAAUUUUCUUGAUUACCUACAUGCAGCAAAAUAUAAAACACACUGGAGAGGAAAAGCAGGAGAGAAAACAAUGACUAGAGGUAAGGUACCUUUAUGAAACCAAUUGGAACAUUACAAAAACAAUCUUACUAAAACUAUUAAGUCUGUCACUCCAGAGACAGUCUAGAGCUGCUUUAUAAAACAGACUAAGGCAAAAUGAGUAUAUGAAAAGAAAUAGGGAACACCAGACUUUAUAGUAACAGGGAAAAUGGUAAGUAUUAGAGGAAGCUUCACUUAAUGUAACUUGUUUUACUGCUCUAAAACCUGCUUGAGCUAUGCUUUAAAAUAAUUCAAGAAAACCCUUUUCAUCAUGUUAUACAUGACACUCACUCUGUCCCCUAGGAGGCAUGGUUUGGCAAACUAGAUCCUUACUCAAAAGUGGGAGGGAAGGUCACUUGACUCAAGUUUCCAAAUAGUAUGUUGGGGCUCAUUAACUAGAACAGUGGUCUUAAAACUGUAGCCUCAACAAUAUUUGGAAAUCAGUUUCUAACUUUUUCCAGCCCUAAAAUUAAUCACAUUAGUAUUCCAAUGGUGGUUAAUAUGGUUAGAUCUAGUAGAUCUCCAGCUUAUGCCUCUUGACCUAGCAGAGUAGAAGACAACAGCAUACUACUACUACUACUUCUUGUCUCAAUUGUCAACAGCACCUCAUGAAACACAUGUGGCUCAUCACAACUAAAACUGAGACUACUCAUCUUUAAACAAGCAGGUCCUCUGCUUGUAGCCACUCAGGCCAGCCAGAACUAAUGGACUGUGCAAAUGAGAGGUAAAGAGUCUGAAUGCUGGAAAACGUGCAGAAGAGAGACCCAGUGGAAUCUGCAGAACUUGACAGGUUAACUGGAUUGGGGCACUGGCACUAAAGACUGCAGCUUUUGCUAAGCAGUGGAUGAGGGUAACACUGCCUUUACGUAGACAGGUACACACCUUCAAACUACUCCAGCUGAGUUCCUUCUCAAUUACCCUAGGGGACAGAGAGGGACUGGGACUGAGCUGGAGGAAUAUGGCAGAGGAAGCCUGACCUGAGGCUGAUUUGCAAGGCUUACUGCACAAAGUAGGGGAGAUUAUGAGUUAGAAGUUGGGGUGACUCAGAACUGAUACAAAUGUAACUAUUUCCGUACUGAAUUAAAACAUGAAUUUAGAAUUGCGAGACUUAAUUUACAGGUUUAAAGUUUUUGUGGUAGGUAACACUGCACAGUACCAAUAGUCUGAAUUACCAUUUCCUGAUGAUAGAAUUCUUGAGGGAGAAGCGUGGAAAUCAACCUUUUUAUUUUACGUUGCAGAGAGGCAGGUAUUUAUUAUAGUGCUUGUUUUAAUUUCCUUUCUGUAAAAACUGUAAUUGUGUAAGAUUGAGUAUUAAUCUUCUAAAAAAAGAAAACUAAACCCUAGGUCAAUCAAGUCUAAUGCGUAGGGCAUACAUGUAACACCAAAAACAUAUCUGAAACAAUAAAUUGAGCACUUUCAAAA